ACAGGUGAGUAACACGUAUGCAACCUGCCUGUAAGCGGGGAAUAACCCGUUGAAAGACGGACUAAUACCGCAUAAUACUAAAUUACUGCAUGGUAAUUUAUUUAAACGAUUUAUGGCUUACAGAUGGGCAUGCGCAUGAUUAGCUAGUUGGAGAGGUAACGGCUCCCCAAGGCAACGAUCAUUAGGGGUUCUGAGAGGAAGGUCCCCACACUGGUACUGAGACACGGACCAGACUCCUACGGGAGGCAGCAGUGAGGAAUAUUGGUCAAUGGGACGAGAGUCUGAACCAGCCAAGUCGCGUGCAGGAAGAAUGUCCUAAUGGAUUGUAAACUGCUUCUGCAGGGGAAUAAAGUGCAUCACGUGUGAUGUUUUGUAUGUACUCUGCGAAUAAGGAUCGGCUAACUCCGUGCCAGCCGCAGC
rnacentral:rRNA from 1 species